UUGAACACUCAGAUUUUUUCCUCUCUUCUAAAACCUAAAACAUUUUUUCCUCUCUCUCUCCUCACUCCUCUCACUUCACGCCGCCACCACCCAAAACCUCCAUCUCUAUCAUUGUCACUUUCAUUUUUUUUUUAAAAACCAGAUCUCCCUCACAGCCGACCACCACCGUCUCCACCACCAGCCCACUACACCCUCCGUUCUCCAACGCCCCGCUGCCCCACUUCAUCUCUUUCUCUCUCUCUUCCCGUCGCCGUCGACAGCCGCCGCCCCUCUACACUGGAGCUUUGAGCUCCGGUGAACUCCGACACACCCAAAAACAGGUUCGAAUCUUCCUCUUUCGGCUUAGUUCUUGACGCUCUUUUUGCUCCUUCAGCUCUUGUUCGCCAAAAUAUAGCAAGUCCUCCAUGGAAUUUGUUCCUUACCUCGGGCAGAUUCGAAAUUAAAAUGGGGAGUUCAGAUCCCAAACUUGUUGACUUGCUACCUUGCCUGCAAUGCUAGAUGAGCCUACUGUCUCGUUUGUGGAUUGUUGCUGAAUUAAAAUGAACAAAUACUACUAAUUGAGUUACUGUCUUAAAAUAGUUGCUGCAUUUGAGACAUAUUUGGUGAGUUUGGCUAUCAUUUUUAAGGCAAAAGAGUGACUGCCCAUGAUGGUAAUUAAAUAUACUUUUGAGUAUUUUACUAUGAACAAAACUUUUUAGCUGAGGCUUGAGGCUUUGCCAAUUCUUUAUUUAUUUUGCAUUCCUUUUUUGUAGCUUUGAGCUUUAAAUCAUGAAAUAAUCGUAUGGAUUAAUGGAUCCUAAGUUAAUUAAUCAACGUGUCUGGUGUACUUUUGUCAAAGGAAGAAUCUUUCUAGUUAGAUAUCUUGGAAUGCUGGAUUUUGUUUUGAUUAUAUAAUGAUUACUCCUUUUGUUGUUCAUCCUUGGAACAGAUAUCCAAAUGAACCUCCAUCGUGUAGACAGUACAUUUGCCUGAGUCAUCGAAUUUUGUCCACGCGAUGGCGGUUUCUUUGGAUUUCUCUCAGCAUUCGUCCGUCUCAAUCUUUAUUAUGUCUUUGCAUUCCUCGGUGUUUGCCAAGAUUUUAAUGUUGUAAAUAGUUGUGCUGAAUGUAUCUAAUUUGCAUAUGCAAUGUUGAAUAACAGUAAUGCUGCAUUCUUGGUUGAUUGGGGUUGUUUUAAAUGUAUGUUGCAUAGCUCAAAAUAUUUGAUCUUAGGCAUGCACUUGUUUCUCUUAAGUAUUAACUCUUGUAGAGAAUAAUUUUAAGUUUCUUCCUGUGUUUUGUUUAAAGUUUUAUUUCAUUUGGUCCUUGCAAUGAUGAUAGAACAGACAGGGACAUCAGCAUCUUCUGGGGAUGAUGAAUGGCCGAUGAAGAAAUUUUCGUCGAUUUCCAAGGCCUUUCAUGUACAAAGACGGGUUUUUAUUUUAAGUUUAUUCAUUACUUUUUUUUUUUUUUAAUUCAUCCGAUAAUUAUUUAUUCUCUUACUAACAUUUUUAUUAAGUCUCAUGCAGGCAUCCGGAGUUACUUUUGAAGAUGACACUCAAAAGAAGUUCAAAUAGCUUUUUAAACUCUUUGUUUAUAUUUUUUUUUUACAUUCUUAAAUUAUGCAAGCAUAAAAUAUAGUGAAACUUUACUUUUUUAGGGUGCAGGUUGGUGGUAUUCAUUUAUGAUCUGCUUAUGUGAUUUAAAUUUUAUGUGUUUUAGAUAAAUUAACAUUAGACAGUUAUUAUUUUUCGUAGCUAAUAUUCUUAUAGUUAUCACGUUUCGCUAGAGUUUUAAUUUAGUAGCUUAGCACACUUAAGUAAAUAAAUAGGGUGAUUUGCCUCAAUAUUUAGGUUUUAAAAUGUACUCUCAUAAUUAAUUGAUUAGGUGUACAUACUUGACUAGUUAAUUUAGUUAACUCACCUUGCGUGCAGAAUAAUUUCAUGUCCGUUCCUUAUACCUUUUCACAUACUCAAGCUCUUAAGUUGCAGAUAACCUUUUUAAAUAAUUUUUUAUAUCACAUAUGUUUAAAUCUGUUUUUUUUUUCAUUCAGAAGAAAAUCGUUCAUUGUUAAGUAAAUACCUUUAUAAUAUAUUCAUUUAAAGCUAAAAAUUUUAGUCACUGUAAUUGCGCACUUUAUUUACUUGUAAAUUAUCACGUAAUGCGUAUUUUUAUACAUAUGUAAAUACUUACACCUUUUACUACAUAGACAUUCAUGUUAGUUAUUCUUAGUCUAAAUUCUAUUAAUUUUUGUAAAUAAGAAUCAACCCUUCACAUCCCUCGUAUAGUUAAAUUGGUCCAGCCGGGAACCACAUUUGUGGAUUCUGAAGGAUGCCUAACACCUUCCCUUCGGAAUAAUUUGAACCCUUACCUAAAAUCUCACUUAUUUUCGUAGACCAUGUUAAGCUGCAUAUAUUAAUAAUUUAUAGGUACCCUAGUAUACCUUAAAUGCUAGGUGGCGACUCUGUACAUAAUUAUUUUCGAGUUCCAUAAGUUGUGCUUUGUUUAGCCUUGGUAAAAAUGAGGUGCAACACCAUCUGAGUUGAUCUUCACAAAACUAAUGGAUGGUUUGAGCCACCUAACCAUUAUAUUUCUCUUACUGAUGAUGUUGCUUCCCAUAAGCUGGACAAUAUUCUCCCAGUUAGGAUUCAAUUUAACAUUGACAAAUUAAGUCCCAACUAGGUGAGUUAAUGUCUCGGCAAUGUGACUAAUACACCUUCUGAUGUUAUGAGAUUCUUUUCCAUACUUGCUCCACAUCUUGCUUUCCAUAACUGAUGCAAAUCAAGAAGCUAUAUUGGGCUUUUGUUAUUUAGGGCGUCAAUAACAAGCUCUUGUGAACCCAAGAAUUGGUAUGUGGACUUGUCUUCAAAUUCAAGAAGCCCAAGGAUGAUUUCAAGCCCAAGAAGCCAAGUUAAAAUUAUUUCCUUCUUAAAUUAGGAUUAGUUAUUUUCCUUGUUCUAGUAGGUUUUACUUUCCCCUUUCCUUAUAGAAUAGGGAUUUUACUUUCCUUGUUUUUAGCUACUUCCUUGCUAGAGUAGAAUAGGGAUUUGUAGUCAUCAAAGAAGAGACCCUAGGCCUAUAUAAAGGGUUCUUAUUCUUUGUUAAACACUAUUCACGUUUUUAGCAUAAACCUAAAUUUUGCAAUAGGGUUAUUCUCUCUAUUUCUUGUUUUUUAUCCUUGUUUUUGGUUCCAAGCAAGGUGGUGAUAGUCUUUACCUUAUUUUCAGUUGCGUGUGGUGUUUCUUUAUCACGUUAAUUGAUUUCAAGUAGUGACUUAGGAACUUUAUUUGUUCUUGAUCAUUCAAGAACGCGUUUCUUGAUUAAAAUUCGUUCUACUUCAUACCCAGAACCUUAAUUUUCUUUCCAUCGUUUUGCCCUCAAUACUUACUUGAUUUAAACCAUUCAAUAGUUAUUUUUAUAGUUCAAAUCGUCAUCUUUCACAUAGUUUUUGAAUCACUUUAAUCCUACGCCUACAACUUGAGAUAUAUCCGUUUCUUGAAUCUGCCCAUCAAACUGCUUCAAGAACAAGAUCCCGGUCGAUUGGUUCUUUGUUAACUCGAAGAAUCACAUCAAUAACUCCCACACUGCCACAAUUGGUAAACAUUUCAUAAGGAAUGCUAAGACAGGAUUUUUAGUUUUCCAAGUCCACCAAUAUUUAAGUAAUAGCCUCAGUGGUAUGUUGCAAUAAGGUAUACCAACUGGACCACAUAGAACUGCCCAUUUAUUCUUGGCAAAAUCUCCAGAACACAUCAGGUGUUCAAUAUCUUCUUCCUUUGGAUUCUUGCAGCAGCAGCAUCUAGAAGGUGCAUAAAUUCUCAUCUUGGCAAGCCUAGCAUCCGUAGGGAUUUUGUCCCUUAUAGCUCUCCACAAAAUGAAAUUCAUUUUAAAAGGUACCUUCUUGUUCCAAGUCAUAGUGUCAACCCAACAUUUGAGUCUUUUCUGUCUCAAUAGAUGCCAGGCAGAGGCUACUGAGAAUUGACCUCUCUGUUCAGGUGACCAAAUAGUCGUAUCAUCCUUGUCAAAUUGAAGAAUUGUUUUCUUUGCAUAAAUGUGACUCAUUAUAUGGUUAGGUAAAUGAACAUCCCAACCCUCCAAUGCCAUUGUCCAUUAAUCAGCACCUCUGAUUGUUAUAUCCCGUAUUUUUGUACAUUCGGAUAAUUCAAGAAAAUCGCGGGAAGUUAAGGACGAGGUUAUAUUUUGAUUUUUGUUUAGCACACAAGUUGCUUAAGAAAAUUUUGAUGUGAAAAUGUUAAGAAAGGUUAGGGGUAAAAAGGAAAAUUCGCAAGAUGACUCAUAGAAAUAUGGAGGAAGGCUAAGGGCAAAUUUGGAAUUUGGAGAAUAAUUUUUCAUGAAUUACAAAAAAAAAAAAAAGUUGGGCUUGAAUAAUAGGCCAAGGUGGCCGGCCAAGGUAAUGGGCCAAGGCCCAUAUGGGAGUUCAAUAUAUGUAAUUAAAAGAUGACAAAUUCAUCUUUGACACAAGAACAAUCAAGAAACUUGGAGAGAAAAAAGACCCUCCCAUUUUCGGCCAAGGAGACCAAAAUUGAAGAUCAAAAAUCUUGAUAAAAAAAAUUAUUUCUUCUAAUAUUCCUACUAAUUCAAGGGCCCUCUUUAACGUGGUAUAAUUAUUGGAGCAAGAAAAACAUCUAUUCUUGCAAGGAGCAACUUUAGCCAAGAAAGAAGAUAAGUGGAAAAAGGUAAGAUUUAAUCUUCUUUUAUAUGUUAUGGAAAGGUUUGUGUAUGUUGUAGUAUGUAGAAAUGAAUGAAAUUCAUGAAAACAUGGAAGUUGUGUGGUGGCCGUGUGUGUGGGUGUUGGCCGUGUAUGUAUUGUAAUGUGUAGGGAUGAUGAACUAAUUUUAUCUAGUAUUUUGGUUGUUGUUGUCAUGAAUCCUAUGAUGAAAAUGAAAGUUUAAUGAUUCUAGUGAAGUUGUAAUGGUUGGAGAGUUGUUUUAGAAGUUAAUGUGAUUUGAAUAUAGCCUUCUUGUAAUUAUGGAAAACAAUGUUGUUAGUGUGUGAAUUGUUGGUGUAGUUCAUGAAUUUGAAAGGAAGAAAUGUGUUGUUAUUGUUCUUGUUGAAUUUGGAAGGUUUCGGAUGGAAUGGCAUAUUGGUUGGAUUAUUGUGAAUAUUGUGCGGAUUGUUUGAAGCGUUCUUGAACAUUGUUUGAAUGGCUUCGGAUUAGUACCUGAAGGUGUGAGUAAAUAUGAAUUAAAUAUAAGUGAAACGCCGUUGAAGUUUGUAGAAAGAAGUUGCUAAUGCUAGUAUGCGUUUUGAACUGAUUGUGGAUAUUGUUAGAAUAAUUGUUGGUAUUGUUGUUGAUAUUUUGGCCGAGUUAAAUUCUCGGAUUUGUUGUUGUAUGUUUGGCCGAGUUGAAUUCUCGGGGAUGUUGCAUUUACAGGGGAAAUGCUAUCGAAAUUUCUAUAGAUAAAGUGUUGGUUUAGAAUUGGACUCUUAAGUGUUAUGGCUAAUGUUUGGUAUAUAUGAAUAUUGUUGUAGAUAUUGCGAAGCCAAAGACUUAAGUUCGGAUUAGCAUAGAAACCGGGCAAGGUAUGUAAGGCUUACCCUUUCUUUCUUUUGGCAUGAUCUUUAUGGAACGAACAAAUGACGUAUAUGUAUGAUUGCAAAGAAAUUCCUAUUCUUAGAGCCACUAGGAUGGCUAAUGUCCUUGAUUUCCAUAAGCUGUUUCAUAUGAUUUUGAUGCGCAUCUAUGUUGUCCGAAGAUCUACUUGAUAUGUUUCCGAAUUGGCAUUCGAGAGAUAAGCGACUUGGCUAAUGUCUUGAUUUUCAAAUGAUAGCACGUCUGACUAUUCCGUUAAGUCUUUGAUACACUUUGAUAUGUACAUAUGAUUCCAAAGGCUAUAUUUGAUUUGAUCCAUACGAUAUCCGAAAGAUACUUGAUAUGAUUAUUGCUUCGAUUUUCCAAAAAUGGCUUCUGAAAUGUUCGUAGAAGGUUUUGUACUUCAAACGCUCAUAACUUUCUCAUACUAAGUCGGAUUGACCCGAAACUUGUUUCGGAGCCUUCGGGUGUCGGAAAGUAUACGUGUCCAUCGAGUCUUAGAACUGACACAUUAUGAUAUAUGGAUCGGGCCGUAUUAACACAUUAUGAUAUAUGGAUCAGGCCGUACGUUCCACGGCAUUAUAUUAACACAUUAUGAUAUAUGGAUCAGGCCGUACGUUCCACGACAUUAUAUUAACACAUUAUGAUAUAUGGAUCAGGCCGUACGUUCCACGACAUUAUAUUGAUACAUGACUUUCAUUUUUGAUUUAUGCUGAUGACAUACAUGAUUUCCGUUUUGAAAAGGCAAGUGCUUUGAUAUUUUUAAAGAUCAUGUUUGAUUCUGGUAAAUCUCUGUUUCAGUUAUGAUCCUCAAGUGUCAAUUUGCGCACCUAUCUAUCGAGUCUUGAUUUAUAUGCAUAUAGUUUCUCACGACUCUGUUCGUGCAAGCCUCAAUAUGUCUAUUCAUCGAGUCCCAGGCCGGGUAUGUUAUCGUGCGCACCCUGCUGCAUUGUUCACCAAGUCCCUCACUAGAGGGUCGGGUACGGUAUAUGCAUAUGAUGAUGUGAUGAGAUGAUGAUAUGUUAUGAUGGCCAGGAGGGCAUAUGAUGAUGUGAUUCACCGAGUCCCUCACUAGAGGGCCAGGUACGGUACAGACGUUCGUGUGAGUGACCCGACAGCUUAGGCUAUCUAUUUUGCUGCCUUGGAGUGCUCCCUUGUUCUGGAGCUCAUAUUUUGUUUUCUAACAGAGAGGAGGAAUAUAUCAAAUACUUCAAAUUUCUAAACAUCUGGACUGACCAUCCUCAAUUUCAAGAGGUCGAUAAGGCGGUAUGGGAAGAAGAAGUUACAGGGAAUCCCAUGUGGGUACUUCACUAAAAACUGAAGAAGACUGCUUCUCACUUAAGCAAAUGGUCUAAGGAAACAUAUGAGGACAUUUAUAAUGAACCUAAGAGAUUUAGAAAAGGAUAGCAUCAUUUUGGAAAAAAACGCUCCAGGAUGAUUAUACUCCAAAUAACAGGGAAAUCCUGGCUAAGGCUCAUGCUAAUUACGUUCAUUACCUCAAGAUUCAAGAAGCUAUUUUGAGACAAAAAGCUAGAGUAAGAUGGUUGGAGGAUGGAGGUGCAAAUACAGCAUACUUCCACAAGGUGAUCAAAGACAGAAGGAGAUAAAUAUGCAUUAACAAAAUCAUGGAUGAGAAUCAACAGUGGGUAGAAGGAAAUAAUGAAGUGGCAGAGGCAGGAGUGAGAUAUUUCAAAGGAAUUUUCAGUCAGAUUGCUGAGUAUAAUAACUUCUCAAAUUUGAGCAGCAUAGACAAUAUAAUAUCUGACGACACCAACAACUCCUUGAUUGAAUUUCCUGCUGAAGAGGAAAUUAGGUGCAAUCUAAUGACAAUGGAUCCUAAAAGUGCCGCUGGGCCAGAUGGAUUCACAGCUAAGUUCUUCCAGGUUUGCUAGGAUAUCAUUGGUACUGAUAUCACCAAAGCAUUACAUGCAUUUUUUUGUGGUGCUAGUUUACCUAAAUGACUAACUCACACCUGCAUUGCUAUGAUCCCUAAAGUUAACUCUCCUCAUCAAAAUACAAAAUACAUAUUACUUAACACCAAAAAAGGAUCAAAGCAGUCAGCUAUCAUCAGAAAUGAAUUUGCUCUUCAUCUUCUUCAAUCUGAAAUUUUAGGAUUCCAUCAAAUUCAAGAUUCGAUGACGCUCUAACCUUUAGAGGUAGGAAAGUAGCUUCAGCAAAGAUAGAAAAAGUUUUGCAUUCUUCUCUCCAUGUUGGCAAGGAGGUCAGUAGUACAGUUGCCUUCUCUAAAAAUGUGUUUAAAAACAAAAUUUUCAGCUCCAGCCACAUUAAAUAUCUCGAUCUGUUUGAUUUGCCAGGGUGGGAGCUUCUCAUUGAGAAUAUUGAUAACCAGAAGAAAAUCAGACUUGACUAUCACAUUAAGUAAGCCAACAUCCAAUCACAUGUUCACACCUUUCAACAUUGCCUUGGCUUCAACAAUGUUGUUACUAUACUGCCUAUAAAGUAUGCAAAGGCCUGAAUCAUAGAUCCUAAGUGAUCCCUGAUUA